GGGUUGUGAGGUUAAGCGACUAAGCGUACACGGUGGAUGCCCUGGCAGUCAGAGGCGAUGAAGGACGUGCUAAUCUGCGAUAAGCGUCGGUGAGGUGAUAUGAACCGUUAUAACCGGCGAUUUCCGAAUGGGGAAACCCAGUGUGUUUCGACACACUAUCAUUAACUGAAUCCAUAGGUUAAUGAGGCGAACCGGGGGAACUGAAACAUCUAAGUACCCCGAGGAAAAGAAAUCAACCGAGAUUCCCCCAGUAGCGGCGAGCGAACGGGGAGGAGCCCAGAGCCUGAAUCAGUGUGUGUGUUAGUGGAAGCGUCUGGAAAGGCGCGCGAUACAGGGUGACAGCCCCGUACACAAAAAUGCACAUAUUGUGAGCUCGAUGAGUAGGGCGGGACACGUGGUAUCCUGUCUGAAUAUGGGGGGACCAUCCUCCAAGGCUAAAUACUCCUGACUGACCGAUAGUGAACCAGUACCGUGAGGGAAAGGCGAAAAGAACCCCGGCGAGGGGAGUGAAAAAGAACCUGAAACCGUGUACGUACAAGCAGUGGGAGCCUCUU
rnacentral:rRNA from 1 species